AUGAUCCAUCCGGUUGUGCUCUCCCUGCCCUCCGUCGCUAUAAUAGCGCCACGCCCCCGUCGCCAUCGUCACCAUACCACCACUCCCUCCCGAUCCCUCCACCGCCACCGCCACCGCCACCGCCUCCUCCGCCUCACCCCUCUUCUCGCCUCGUGCGUCGACCGGCGGCCGAUCGUCUGCGGCCCAGACAUGGGGCUCUUCACUGUCACGAAGCAGGCCACCACGCCCUUCGACGGCCAGAAGCCCGGCACCUCCGGCCUCCGCAAGAAGGUUACUGUAUUCCAGCAGCCUCAUUAUCUGCAGAACUUUGUCCAAUCAACAUUCAAUGCCCUUCCUGCUGAUCAAGUAAAAGGUGCGACCAUUGUUGUCUCUGGUGAUGGCCGCUAUUUCUCGAAAGAUGCUGUUCAGAUCAUAACAAAAAUGGCUGCUGCCAACGGAGUAAGACGUGUUUGGGUUGGACUAAACAGUCUCAUGUCAACCCCUGCUGUAUCUGCUGUUAUCCGUGAAAGAACCGGUGCAGAUGGAUCAAAGGCUACCGGUGCCUUCAUCCUGACAGCAAGCCAUAACCCAGGUGGUCCGACUGAGGAUUUUGGGAUCAAAUACAAUAUGGGAAAUGGUGGGCCUGCACCUGAAUCCGUUACUGAUAGUAUUUUCUCUAAUACAAAGACAAUCUCUGAAUACCUCAUCACUGAAGACCUUCCAGAUGUUGAUAUUUCUGUUGCUGGUGUCACUAGCUUCAGUGGGCCUGAAGGCCCCUUUGAUGUGGAUGUCUUUGACUCCAGUGUAGAUUACAUAAAGUUGAUGAAGUCAAUCUUUGACUUUGAAGCAAUAAAAAAGCUGCUGACCUCUCCAAAGUUUACGUUCUGCUAUGAUGCCCUCCAUGGUGUUGCUGGAGCUUAUGCCAAACACAUCUUUGUGGAAGAGCUUGGUGCUGAUGAAAGCUCACUGUUGAAUUGUGUCCCAAAGGAGGACUUUGGAGGUGGUCAUCCGGAUCCUAACCUCACCUAUGCAAAAAAGUUGGUUGAACGGAUGGGUCUCGGAAAGUCAUCCUCAAAUGCUGAGCCCCCUGAAUUUGGUGCCGCAGCUGAUGGAGAUGCUGACCGCAACAUGAUUCUGGGUAAAAGAUUCUUUGUGACACCAUCGGACUCUGUUGCUAUUAUCGCGGCCAAUGCUGUUCAAUCAAUUCCUUACUUUGCUUCUGGCCUGAAGGGAGUUGCCAGGAGCAUGCCAACAUCUGCUGCCCUUGAUGUUGUUGCAAAGAAUUUGAAUCUCAAGUUCUUUGAGGUUCCUACUGGGUGGAAAUUUUUCGGGAACUUGAUGGAUGCUGGAAUGUGCUCAAUCUGUGGUGAAGAAAGCUUUGGCACCGGUUCUGACCAUAUUCGUGAGAAGGAUGGUAUUUGGGCUUGUGCUUGCAUGGCUUUCUAUUCUUGCUUUCAAGAACAAGGACAACCUUGGAGGAGACAAGCUUGUCACCGUUGAAGAUAUUGUCCGUCAGCACUGGGCCACAUAUGGUCGCCAUUAUUACACACGCUAUGAUUAUGAGAAUGUUGACGCAGGGGCUGCUAAGGAGCUUAUGGCAAACCUGGUCAGCAUGCAGUCAUCACUUUCUGAUGUUAACAAGUUGAUCAAGGAGAUCCGGUCUGAUGUCUCUGAAGUAGUUUCAGCUGACGAGUUUGAGUACAAGGACCCUGUUGAUGGCUGUGUCCAAGCACCAGGGUAUCCGAUACCUCUUUGGAGAUGGUUCACGACUGGUGUUCCGUCUCUCUGGAACUGGUUCUGUUGGUGCCACCAUUCGUGUCUACAUUGAGCAGUACGAAAAGGAUUCCUCCAAAACCGGCAGGGAUUCACAGGAUGCCCUUGCUCCACUGGUUGAUGUUGCGCUCAAGCUCUCAAAGAUGCAAGAGUACACUGGCCGCUCCGCCCCCACCGUGAUCACAUAAAAUUUUGAAGAGCCCGCAUUUUUGAAUGAAUUGAGGCACUUACACACACUCUCCUUCCGGCCUCGUUUGAUAGCUUUUUGUUGCAUCUCGCCUCUGAAUAAAAUGUAUGUAUCAGACUUGUCUCGUUUUGUUGCCCAUACUGCAGGGUGCAGGCUCAGCCGCUGGCACAGCAUGCGGCAAUAAUCUCGUCACUGUGUUGUAAUUGAGAGCGUUUUUCUCGUAAGUCGUAAUAUAUCAGAUGCCAUUUUGGUUUGAGCAUUUGCGUAUCAA